rnacentral:rRNA from 1 species
CACACGACUCUCGGCAACGGAUAUCUCGGCUCUCGCAUCGAUGAAGAACGUAGCGAAAUGCGAUACCUGGUGUGAAUUGCAGAAUCCCGCGAACCAUCGAGUCUUUGAACGCAAGUUGCGCCCGAGGCCAUUCGGCUGAGGGCACGCCUGCCUGGGCGUCACGCA